rnacentral:rRNA from 1 species
CAGCAGCCGCGGUAAUACGUAGGUGGCAAGCGUUGUCCGGAAUUAUUGGGCGUAAAGGGCUCGCAGGCGGUUUCUUAAGUCUGAUGUGAAAGCCCCCGGCUCAACCGGGGAGGGUCAUUGGAAACUGGGAAACUUGAGUGCAGAAGAGGAGAGUGGUAUUCCACGUGUAGCGGUGAAAUGCGUAGAGAUGUGGAGGAACACCAGUGGCGAAGGCGACUCUCUGGUCUGUAACUGACGCUGAGGAGCGAAAGCGUGGGGAGCAAACCGGAUUAGAUACCCGUGUAGUCCCUGUCUCUUAUAC